rnacentral:lncRNA from 1 species
UUUUCACACCCAGAAAAUUCCCUCCCAACCCGAUUCCUCUUCCAAUUUCAAACUCCCCCCUAAAUUUUUUGUGCUUGUAUUCCCUCCCUCCAUUUUCUUCGGUAAAUCAAUUUCCUCUCAACUCAUUCUCUUCACACACCUCUUCAACUCAAAAUCCUAGCUCAUGAUCCAGAAUAACAAAGCAAGUACAUGUCUCAAAGCUCCGACGUGAACCACCAUUCUAACCCAACCCGUUACCUAUUAGUUUUGGUCAAAACGAGGUCUUCGAUUGCAAAAAUAGAUUUAGGGUUCCGACUAGAGAGAUUUAGUAAGGAGCGAUACUGGAGUAAAUGCGCAUAAGUCGAAGACGUGAGAGGAAUCUGGAAAAGCAUAGGCUUCUUCCAAAGGAAAUGCAUAGAACCCCAAUUGGCCAAUUCUUCUUUCUCUAUCUAAUUCGUUCUGAUUUACCUUCAUAAUCUGAUUGGUUGAUAUGUCUGCUGGUGGUCAACUUGAAGCCAACAAGAAAGCUAUGAAGAUCCAGGUGAUAUGGCUGAAGCAAUUGAUUUGACUGGAUAUGGAGGUGUUUUGAAGAUGCUUGUGAAGUGAAGAGUGCUAAAAAUCUGAUACUAUUGCUCCUUCAGAGAGUCUUCCUCUUGUUGAUGGUUGGGGAGGUUGCCAAAAUAACUUGCAAGUCAAAUUAUGCCUCUGGUAGCACUGGUUCUCCGCCAGAUAUUCCACCAGAGUAAUUACCUCAUAGCUUAUCGUGUCUAAU